AUUGAACGCUGGCGGAAUGCUUUACACAUGCAAGUCGAGCGGCAGCGCGGCCUUCGGGCUGGCGGCGAGCGGCGAACGGGUGAGUAAUGCAUCGGAACAUGCCCAGUCGUGGGGGAUAACACUUCGAAAGAAGUGCUAAUACCGCAUACGUCCUGAGGGGGAAAGCGGGGGAUCGCAAGACCUCGCGCGAUUGGAGUGGCCGAUGUCAGAUUAGCUAGUUGGUGGGGUAAAGGCCUACCAAGGCGACGAUCUGUAGCUGGUCUGAGAGGAUGAUCAGCCAAACGGGGACGGGAAACCGGCCCAGACUCCUACGGGAGGCAGGAGUGGGGAAUUUUGGAAAAUGGGGGCAACCCUGAUCCAGCCAUUCCGGGGGAGUGAAGAAGGCCUUCGGGUUGUAAAGCUCUUUGGGCAGGAACGAAACGGGGGGCUCUAACAUAGCCCGCUAAUGACGGUACCUGAAGAAGAAGCACCGGCUAACUACGU
rnacentral:rRNA from 1 species